UGAACCAUGGAACAAUCUCGGCCCGACCUAUCAGUACAAGUUGGUGGCCGUCACCACAGACUACGAGAGUCUGAAGAAGGAAGGACCUGACUUUUAAAAGACCUCAGCGGAACUGCAGGCGCGCGCGCACACACACACACACACACACACACAGAGACAGACA